UGCUGCCGACAUAAAAGGAAGAGAAAAUUCAUCAGCCACAACCUCGAAAACCCUAAAGUUUGCCCUAGCCUCUUAAGCAAGUGAAACCUCAAAGACAACAGAGCAAAGUAAACGACUGCGAAAAUCUCUCAACCUCGGUCUUAUGUUCGGCCUUCCAUGAAGAGAAUCAAUGGAGAUUCAAUUUCUGAAACACCUCACAACAAUCCAAGCAUCUUUCCAACCGGUCAACAUUUGAAGAGACAGAGCAAAUGAGAUGAACGAAGAAAAGUAAUCAGGGAGGACUGUACGUAUCAGAAUUUUCGAAAUCAUGAUCGAGAUGAAGAAUAUCUAAGAGAAAGGGCAAUUCUCACCCCAGUGAAUGAUAGUGUAGACGAAAUCAAUGACUACAUUUCUCAUCUUCUUCAAGGGACAAGCAGGGAAUACAUAAGUUCAAAUGGGAUCGACCGGGCAUUAGAGAAUAUCGCCAAUCAAGAAAUUAUGCGCGUCCUAUUGAAUUUCUAAAUACUCUUAAUCUCUCGGGAAUUCCAAAUCAUUGUCUGCAACUGAAAGAAAGAAUGCCAAUUAUGCUUCUCAGGAACAUCAACCCUGCAUUAGGAAUGUGUAACGGAACAAGACUCAUCAUCACGUAGUUGGGGACUUGGAUAAUUGAAGCAAAGAUAAUUAGCGGAACCAAUAUUGGUGCAAAAGUGCUCAUCCCGCGAAUAGUUUUGACAACAAAGAACUCCAAGUGGCCUUUUGUUUUGCGGAGGAAACAAUUCCCACUAUAGGUUUGCUAUGCAAUGACCAUAAAUAAAAAGUCAAGGUCACUCUUUGAAUUC